rnacentral:rRNA from 1 species
UACGUAGGGAGCAAGCGUUGUCCGGAAUCAUUGGGCGUAAAGCGCGCGUAGGCGGCCCUGUAAGUCCGCUGUGAAAGUCAAAGGCUCAACCUUUGAAAGCCGGUGGAUACUGCAGGGCUAGAGUCCGGAAGAGGCGAGUGGAAUUCCUGGUGUAGCGGUGAAAUGCGCAGAUAUCAGGAGGAACACCGAUGGCGAAGGCAGGUCUCUGGGCAUUAACUGACGCUGAGGCGCGAAAGCGUGGGGAGCAAACAGG